UGUAAGUGCAAAACGAAACAUUUCAAUAUCCCAAUCAUGAUGAACAAAAAUUGUUCGAUAUUGUUCUUCGUCAUCAUCGUAACAGUAGCAGUUUCCGCUAGGACUCUCAUAUAUCCCAGUAUCACACGUAAUAAUAGUAGUCAUUAUCGAACGGUGAACCAUCCAGCUUUAAUGAACUUCACAAAUUAUCCGCGGCGUUGGACUUUGCCACGAUUCAAUUCGACAAUAUUUAACGGGUGGAAUAGAACGAAUUUCACAAACCGUUCGAGGAACGCUUCUUACAACAGCUGGAGCCGAGUGCCCAAUAGAGGCUUUGCAUCGAAUUACUCUGUACCUAUCCGGAAUGCAACGGCAUCAAAUGCAGUCUACAACGGGAGGUUCUAGGUGGGAAUAUUUGCAGAGUGGUAUAUUUUGAUGACUUUUCAGGAUUAUAGAAGUAAGAUGAGAGUUCUGCGAGAAUAACAUUAGUAAUCAACUGCAAUCAAAUGAUGAAAUGCUAUACAUAUCCUUUGUCGCCAAAUAGAUCGAAAUGAAUUGAAUGAUAACAAAAAUAUUUCUACUUA